UUAUAUACUGUAGUUGAGGCACCAGUCCCAGGUCCUUCAAGGUGUCAUACUGUAGGGAUCACUCUACUCUCCUCUCUCUCUCUCUUUCUCGCCUCUUGUCAGUAGCCCUUGGAUGUGAGUAACCUCCUUACAUCUCCACUCUUCCUACCUACAGUGUAGUCUCACCAUACCACAGAACAGUUAUCAUCAUCAAAAAACUAAACACAAGAAGCACUGCAGAAGAACCAGUGAGGAAGAGACUGACUAUCAUAAGACUCACUCAACUAAAAGAAGUAUACUCACACACUAUAAUGUUUCUUGAAAGGAAGGAGACUAGGCUUUAAUGAGCUGAAGACUUUAGUAGUGGACAGUUAUCUUUAUUAUUAUUAUUAU